AAAUUUCAGUAAAUCUCACAAUUAUAACCCUCAGCACAUUUACAUAAGUCUUGGCAUUCACAAUAAUUUCAGAAAUCUCAUAUUAACAUUUCAAUAAAAUUCAGAAAUCCAUUUCAAUAAAGUUCAGAAAUCCAUUUCAAUAAUCUCACUAAAAAAACUCUCAAUCCAUUCACAAUAGUCUUUAUUUCAAAGAAGUUUCAAUAAAUCUCACAAUUACAGCCCCAAGCACAUUCAAUAAAUCUUAACAUUUCCACAAAUUUCAGAAACCCGCAUCAAAAUAUCAAAAAUCUUAGAAAGCACACGUCUCAAACCACACUCUCAAAACCCAUUCAAACCUGCAGUGACUGAGGACGCGGCGAGGAACAGAGGCGGAGUGAUUGAGGACGAGGACCAGCGGCGGAGUGAUUGAGGACGAGGACCAGCGGCGAGGAGCAGCACCGGACGGCAGAAGGACUGGACCAGUGGACACAGCAACGAGGACUAGAG
rnacentral:lncRNA from 1 species